CGCUGGCGGCGUGCCUAACACAUGCAAGUCGAACGAGGUCCAUGAGAGCUUGCUCUCAGAAGACCUAGUGGCGAACGGGUGAGUAACACGUGAGAAACCUGCCUCGGAGUGGGGAAUAACUCGGGGAAACUCGAGCUAAUACCGCAUAUCUUCACAUGAUCGCAUGGUCGAGUGAAGAAAGAAUUUCGCUCUGAGAGGGUCUCGCGGCCUAUCAGCUGUUGGUGGGGUAAACGGCCCACCAAGGCAACGACGGGUAGCUGGUUUGAGAGAACGAUCAGCCACACUGGGACUGAGACACGGCCCAGACUCCUACGGGAGGCAGCAGUGGGGAAUCUUGCGCAAUGGGCGAAAGCCUGACGCAGCAACGCCGCGUGCGGGAUGACGGCCUUCGUGGUUGUAAACCGCUUUCAGCAGGGACGAAAAUGACGGUACCUGCAGAAGAAGCCCCGGCUAACUACGUG
rnacentral:rRNA from 1 species